CGAGGUUAGAGAAACAUGAGAACAGGGAACACAGACAGAAUCGGGCCUCACAAGGCAGGGCAGGGCAGGUUCCUGUCCACAGCAGUGCAGGACCUCUCUUGCCACUAAGGUCAGGCAGUGCGAAUCUGACAAAUAGAUACAGGAAAGAUGAAUGGGAGGGGAGGAGCAAGCACGGAGGAAACCAAACCCCAAGACAAGCAAGUCCCUCACACUUAGGCCUGCAUCCGCCGAGCUUCUGCUGGCUUUAGACCUGCUGCCUGGCGUCCCUUGCAGAGGGAGAAUGAAGGCAUCCACCUAAAAAAUAUGAAGACCACUGGACAAAUGAG